CGACUAUUCAACGACUUUCGUUUUUCCCCGAUCUAAUUCUGUUUUCCUUGGUUCUUGAUCUAUAUCAAUUCAAAUUUAACUUAUUCACUUUCACAUUCAUUCAUAUCAAUCCUAAAACACAUAUUUAGGCACUUUACAAUUUAACCCUCAUAUUUUCUCAUUUUGACAGUUUAGUCCCUAAUUCAUAAAAUCACAAAAUACUUAAAAUUUCUUUUUAUACAAGCUUAGCCGAAAUUUCAUAACACUCAUACAAGUCAACAUAUUUCAUUUAUUUCACAUUUCAGUCCCUCAA
rnacentral:lncRNA from 1 species